rnacentral:misc_RNA from 1 species
AAAUAAAUAAAUAAAUAAAAUUGAAAAUGAUAAAGCAAUAAUAAAUAUGGUUUUAAAGAAAAUGAGGCGUGCUCUCUCUUGAUUCCUUUAUAGGCUUCACCACCGUUUCUCUCUCCCCUCCUCUCUCAGCCUCAGGCCCCUUCCCUCCUUCUUAUCUCCCACCUAGCGGGAGAAGCGACACUUCCCCAAACUCCGUUCCGUUUCUUUCUCUCUCUAAACAAAAAAUUUUCGAUUUCUUCUGUUUCAGCUCACGUAAAUAAUUAGCUCCUAGCUCAAUCCUCCAUUGUUUAUAUGUAAAGAUCUUCCAUUUUUCUCCUUAGAAAGGUAAUAAUAAUCUGGUAAUCCUCUGCUUUACUUGCUAAUCACUCUCUUUAAUCGUUUAUUGGAUGCUUAAUCUUUAUCUCGAUUUUGGAUGCAAAGCUUUGUUUGGAUAUUUAGAUUUCGCGUUUUCUUGGUUGAAUCUGGCCGGGAAUUUGCUUUCCAUGUGAAUCUAAAUUUUCUCCUUUUGUUCAGGUAAUUGAGCUCUCUUCGAUUCCCAAAAAAUUGAAGGAAAACAGAGAAUUUUUAGUACUAUAUUCGAAUUCAAAGAGAAUCGAUCAUGAUGGCGUCAACUGCGAUCUCGAAUCAUCCUGUAACCAAUUCCAACUUUGAUCGCUCAAAAAGGAAAAAGAAGAAGAAAUCGCAAGCACCAUCCAAGGAGAAUCAAAAUCAAGGCCACGCUAAGUGGAAAACCGAAGCUCAGCAACAAAUCUACUCCUCUAAACUCAUCCAAGCUUUGAGCCAAGUUCGCCUCAGCCCUUCUUCCCCUUCGGCUCCCCGCCAAGGCCGAGCUGUUAGAGAAGCCGCUGACAGAGCCCUGGCCUUCGCUGCUAAGGGGAAAACAAGGUGGAGCCGUGCCAUAUUGACUAGCCGAAUCAAGCUUAAGUUCAGGAAGCAGCACAAGAGGCACAGAGUGGUGGCGGCUUCUACUACCUCGACGGUAACCGGAACUAGCCGAUCGAAGAAGCCGAGA